UAGUUACUAAUGUGUGAUUAGUGAUUAGUCACUAGAUGUACAUGUGGCAGACAAUUGACGUUUAAAGCCAAAGAAAAGUUGCACAGAAUCAUAGACGCAAGAGACACAGAUCAGACCUCAGUAGUCAAAACUCAGAAGGAGAUAAAAGUAGUUUGAGAAAUCUAUGAUCAGACCUUUGCGGGCUGAUAAAUUUAGCGGUCAGAUUCUGAGUUACAAGUUGCAUGGACAUAAGCAAUGAAAGCAGAAGGUUGUGUCAAUAUGAGGAUCCGCAAUCUUCCAUUGACCUCUGCCAUCUUCCUCACUAGGAUACGCCCUUGGUUCAUCAGAUGCAUCUCCAUAACUAUCGUCGCAAGGCCUCCAGGACUUGGAAGAUUUUAAAGGCAGAGAAAAAAAAACACUUCUUGGUUUGCCUGUUAUUGCCAACCAUGAUAUAUGGAUAGAUACAAAAAUUUCUUGCACUUGAAAGCUCUAGCUAGCCCACAAAGAGCUCUUUCUCAUAAGGUUUUGUUGAGUAUUCUUUGUUGGGUAUGAAAUGGGAAGCAAGCAAGCUGUUGAAUUUUGAGGGAAAUUACAAAAACAAGUACCUUGUAGUUCGAUGCCUUUUUCAAGUCGCGUCUUUUACUUUGAUUUGUGACAAAAAGAGCCUAUGAUGUUCUGCUGUUAUCAAAGUGCAUCUUUUUCCUUUA